GACAUCUUAACAUUGGUAGGGGCGGAAAUACAUAUAAGGAAGAGGGAAGAAACCCCUAUUGAAUAUGCAUUAGACAUGAGCUUUGAAAUGACAACGCCACGGGUGAUGGUCGUAAGGCCUGUGUUCAUGAGAAAGGGCCACAACUUCCUGACCAGAUCAAAUGGAAACAAGUCAGCUUGGGUCACUGCAAGUACAAGAAGCUUGUGGAACCCCAGAUGAGAAAGCUCUCAGUACCUUCUGGGACCUCCCAGACAGAGAAGAAUGAAGUUACCACAAGACAGCACCAUCUAUUCCCUGUUAGUUUCUCUAGGACUAUUCCUGGGUGCUGAUUCCCCAUCUUGUGAGAAGCAACGCCCCUCCUGCAAG